rnacentral:rRNA from 1 species
GAUGAACGCUGGCGGCGUGCCUAAUACAUGCAAGUCGAGCGAACAGACGAGGAGCUUGCUCCUCUGACGUUAGCGGCGGACGGGUGAGUAACACGUGGAUAACCUACCUAUAAGACUGGGAUAACUUCGGGAAACCGGAGCUAAUACCGGAUAAUAUAUUGAACCGCAUGGUUCAAUAGUGAAAGACGGUUUUGCUGUCACUUAUAGAUGGAUCCGCGCCGCAUUAGCUAGUUGGUAAGGCAACGGCUUACCAAGGCAACGAUGCGUAGCCGACCUGAGAGGGUGAUCGGCCACACUGGAACUGAGACACGGUCCAGACUCCUACGGGAGGCAGCAGUAGGGAAUCUUCCGCAAUGGGCGAAAGCCUGACGGAGCAACGCUGCGUGAGUGAUGAAGGUCUUCGGACCGUAAAACUCUGUUAUUAGGGAAGAACAAAUGUGUAAGUAACUAUGCACGUCUUGACGGUACCUAAUCAGAAAGCCACGGCUAACUACGUG